rnacentral:ncRNA from 1 species
UUUAAUUAUGUUCCUAUUGUUUGAUUUUGGCUUAUUUGGUUAAUUGUAAGAAUUAUUUAUAUGUGAGUUUUUUAUUAUUUAUGUUUAUCAAUUUGUUUUGCAGUAUUUAAUUUUAAAUUUUAAAUUAAUUUGGAUUUAGGAAUUUUUUUUAAUAUCGUAUAUUUUUGUGCCAGCAUACGCGGUUAUACAAUUGAUGUUAAUUAAUUAUUUUGGUUUAUUGAAGUUAAUUUUUAUUUUGAGGUUAUUUUAUUUAUUUUUAAGUGGAAUUUAAAUUUUAUUUAUUCUUUUUUUAGUUUCUUUUUGAAUUUAUAUAUUAAACUAGGAUUAGAUACCCUAUUAUUUUAUUUGUUAAUUUUACCUGGGUAGUAUUAGUUAUUUUCUUUAAACCUAAAGAAUUUGGCGGUAUUUUAGUCCUUUCAGAGGAACCUGUCCCUUAAUCGAUAGUCCUCGUUUUAUCUUUCUUUGUUUUGUUUAGUAUGUAUAUCGCCGUUAUAAGUUUAUUUUAUUAGGUCUAAUUUACUUUAAUUUUUAUUUUGAUUUAUUUCAGGUCAAGGUGCAGCUUAUAGUGAAGUGGUGGUUGGUUACAAUAUUAUUUUAAUAAACGUAUUUUGUUUUUAUAAUUCGAAUAAAGGUGGAUUUGAUAGUAAUUUUGAUUAUAGAGUUAUUUUGAUUUUGGCUCUAAAAUAAGUACAUAUUGCCCGUCAUUCUCAUUUAUUUGAGACAAGUCGUAACAUAGUAGGUGUACUGGAAGGUGUACCUGGUUUU